rnacentral:rRNA from 1 species
UUUCUAUUUCUUCCUGGAGGAGCUUGCUAUCUAACCGAUAAUCCACGUAAUACCUCACCAACUUUUGAACUAACAGCUUGUAUACCAUCGUCGUCAGUUUACUCCCCGAGGAACGUAAACACAAAGAACCAUCUUCCUAACGUCAGAUCGAGGUGCAGCUAAUAAGUUGGGGAUAAGUGAGCUACAAUCAUAAAACAACACCAAAUAAUAUGUAUGAACAAUAAGUUGACAACCUAAUUCGAAACAGGAUUCAGCAGUAAUGAGUAAAAGAAAAUACUCAUGAACAUCAAGCUCUAGAAUGCGC